rnacentral:piRNA from 1 species
GGGCAGUGGUCAAAUUUUAGGGG